ACGAACGCUGGCGGCGUGCUUAACACAUGCAAGUCGAACGGUGAAGCGCCUUCCUUUUUGGUGGGUGUGGAUGAGUGGCGAACGGGUGAGUAACACGUGAGUAACCUGCCCCCUUCUUCUGGAUAACCGCAUGAAAGUGUGGCUAAUACGGGAUAUUCUGGGUCUGUCGCAUGAUGGGUCUGGGAAAGAUAUUGUUUCGGUGGGGGAUGGGCUCGCGGCCUAUCAGCUUGUUGGUGGGGUGAUGGCCUACCAAGGCGGUGACGGGUAGCCGGCCUGAGAGGGUGGACGGUCACACUGGGACUGAGACACGGCACAGACUCAUACGGGAGGCAGCGGUGGGGAAUAUUGCACAAUGGGCGCAAGCCUGAUGCAGCGACGCCGCGUGAGGGAUGGAGGCCUUCGGGUUGUGAACCUCUUUCGCCAGUGAAGCAGGCCUGCCUGGUUUGUGGGUGGGUUGACGGUAGCUGGAUAAGAAGCGCCGGCUAACUACGUG
rnacentral:rRNA from 1 species